rnacentral:rRNA from 1 species
CCUACGGGGGGCAGCAGUGAGGAAUCUUGCGCAAUGGGGGCAACCCUGACGCAGCGACGCCGCGUGCGGGAAGAAGGCUUUCGGGUCGUAAACCGCUUUUCUGGAGGACGAGACAGGACGGUACUCCAGGAAUAAGUCCCGGCUAACUACGUGCCAGCAGCCGCGGUAAAACGUAGGGGGCGAGCGUUAUCCGGAAUCACUGGGCGUAAAGGGCGUCUAGGCGGCAGGCUAAGUUCUGCGUGAAAGCUCCCGGCUCAACUGGGAGAGCGCGUGGAAGACU